rnacentral:rRNA from 1 species
AACGAACGCUGGCGGCAUGCCUAACACAUGCAAGUCGAACGAGACCUUCGGGUCUAGUGGCGCACGGGUGCGUAACGCGUGGGAACCUGCACUUAGGUUCGGCAUAACUCCCCGAAAGGGGUGCUAACACCGGGUAAUGUCUUCGGACCAAAGAUUUAUCGCAUUUGGAUGGGCCCGAGUUGGAUUAGCUAGUUGGUAGGGUAAAAGCCUACCAAGGCGACGAUCCAUAGCUGGUCUGAGAGGAUGAUCAGCCACACUGGGACUGAGACACGGCCCAGACUCCUACGGGAGGCAGCAGUGGGGAAUAUUGGACAAUGGGCGAAAGCCUGAUCCAGCAAGGCCGCGUGAGUGAUGAAGUCCGUAGGGAUGUAAAGCUCUUUUACCCGGGAUGAUAAUGACAGUACCGGGAGAAUAAGCUCCGGCUAACUCCGUG